rnacentral:misc_RNA from 1 species
UAGAAAACAGAAAGUAAUGUACACCAAUGCCAUCUUAGAAAGGAGGCCACGGAAGAAGAUUAACGCUACAUACGCCACCAUUUUAUGAGCAUUUCUACUUGUGCAGUUGAAGAGAACACUUAUAUAUGUUACGAGAUUUUUCUAUUUAAUAAAUCAACUCAUUUGAAAACACGCAAAAUGUCACGUUAUCGUGAAUGGGAUCUUUCAUGUAAAGUUUAUGUUGGUAAUCUAGGAAAUAGUGCUAGUAAACAUGAAAUUGAAAGUGCAUUCAGUAAAUAUGGUCCACUUAGAAAUGUGUGGGUAGCUAGAAAUCCACCUGGAUUUGCUUUUGUGGAAUUUGAAGAUCCACGAGAUGCAGAAGAUGCAGUUAGAGGAUUAGAUGGAACACGCUGUUGUGGAACUAGAGUAAGAGUAGAGAUGUCUUCAGGAAGAAGUAGACGUGCAAGUGGUGGACGGAGACCAGGUCCAAGAUACUCCAGAUUCUACCAGCGUCAGCUCCUAGCUCUGCUCGUCUCCCCGCCACUACUACUACUGCUACUACUACUACUACUACAGCCACCGUGAAAAAAAGUCUAGCAAUCAAAACUGAACAAAAAAAAAAGCCUGCCUGCCCACUAACUUCCCAACCAGUCACCAUCAGUCACCACCAGUCACCGGUAGGAGCCAAGUCGUCCGUCAGUUGACAGUCCGAUGCUGUCCGUCAGUCCGUCAGUCCGUCUGUUCCCCUUCAAAAAGACUUCUUCGGGCUACCUCAACCUCUAGCGGCUAGGAGCAUCGUGAAUCCAUCGAACAGCCAACGCGAUAUGAACAAAUACUUCUGUCAAACUCUCGGCGCGUCAAUCCGUCCGUCCGUCCCAACUUCUACUACUACUACUACUACUACUGCUACUACUACUACUCGUCAACCAUCACGUUAAACUUAGCCAACAACGCGACCGCCACUUCUCUUCGACUGAGCAAAGCAAAAUGAUCACCACCUACACACCAUCCCACCACCACCCAAUCAAGUACCACCACCACCAACCACCACUACAUGUUCACAGUUAUCUGGUCAAGGUCCCGUAGCCCGCGCAGGAGAUCUCUGACCCGUAGCCGCAGCCGAGACCGCCGUUCUCGUUCGGAUUCCCGUGACAGACGUUAGGUGCUAAAAGUGUUCGAGAGAAUGGACCGACUAAAUGUGGCGGAAAGAAGGCAAAAGAAAACUGAUUUUAUAUGUACAUAAAAAAAGAUAAUCGUUACUACACAUACAUAUUUGGUCGAAAUAAUGAUUAUAGUAAGAAAAAAAGACAUUUAUAAGAGAUACAAAAAUAACAUGUACACGAUGUUUAAUAUUUAAAUUGUUAAUUUUGUGCACACAAAGCGUGUAUAAAAGUUAAACACAUACACACAAAAGUGCUUGUGAACGACCACACAUGCACAAUUUCAUACAUACACAUAUACACACAUAAUACAUAUAUUAUGUACAGACGCAUUUUACACACAUACAAAAUUUUUGUGAUGUAAAUCAUCGAGUGCAGUGGAUCUUUUAACAAGAUGUGCUCAUUGCUUUAAAGUGUACGAGUGAGACAAAAAAUUCCAUUGCAAUUGAGGACAAUUAUAACGAUCAACAUAAUGGUGAAUGUUUAACUGACGGUAAAAUAUGUCGACUUGGGCCAGAGACGAUUUUGGUGUGAAAUUUUUGAAGGAAUAGAAAACCGUCGUUUUAUGUUGUAUUAAUUAUUUUGUACUCUUAUGAAUUUAAGACUUCAAAAUAAAAAUGUAUGCUAUAA